GGAAUUGUUCGCAAUGGACGAAAGUCUGACGACGCAACGCCGCGUGAAGGAUGAAGGUCUUCGGAUUGUAAACUUCUGUUGGGUGGGAAGAACUGUCCCGGAAUCAAUACCUCCGGGAUUGGACGGUACCACCUGAGGAAGCCCCGGCUAACUCUGUGCCACCAGCCGCGGUAAUACAGAGGGGGCAAGCGUUGGUCGGAAUUACUGGGCGUAAAGGGCGCGUAGGCGGCCUAUUAAGUCAGACGUGAAAUCCCUCGGCUCAACCGAGGAACUGCGUCUGAUACUGGUGGGCUUGAGUUCGGGAGAGGAAUGUGGAAUUCCAGGUGUAGCGGUGAAAUGCGUAGAUAUCUGGAGGAACACCGGUGGCGAAGGCGGCAUUCUGGACCGACACUGACGCUGAGGCGCGAAAGCCAGGGGAGCAAAC
rnacentral:rRNA from 1 species